rnacentral:rRNA from 1 species
GCUUGUCUCAAGAUUAAGCCAUGCAUGUCCAAGUAUAAACCUUUAUACGGUGAAACUGCGAAUGGCUCAUUAUAUCAGUUAUAAUUUACUUGAUGAUCUCUUUACUACUUGGAUAACCGUGGUAAUUCUAGAGCUAAUACAUGCAAAGAACCCGACUUACGGAGGGUUGUAUUUAUUAGAUAAAAACCAAUGCCUCGUGCUUUUGGUGAGUCAUGAUAACUGCGCGGAUCGCAUGGCCUUGCGCCGGCGACGCUUCAUUCAAAUUUCUGCCCUAUCAACUUUCGAUGGUAAGGUAUUGGCUUACCAUGGUUUCAACGGGUAACGGAUUUUUAGGGAAAGAUCCCGGAGAGGGAGCCUGAGAAACGGCUACCACAUCCAAGGAAGGCAGCAGG